GAGUUUUAUUUAGAAUCCUGAUCUAUCUUUUACAUCACCCCAAGCAAUUGAAUCAGAUGGUGAAGAUUCCGUUCCUCUGAGUACUUAAUUGCUGCACUCUGUUCUGAACCAGAAUGGUUAUAUAGCGGAGAAGAUGGAGGCGGGGGAGAGAGGAGAGAGAUAAAGUAACAGUCACAGACAGAUCGCCAAAAGGAUCGGAAAAGCUGCGAUUUCCCUUGUCAUCGUCGUCUUCUACUCCAUCUUCAUCAGGACCGUCGAUUUCAUAUCGUAGUUCUUCCCUAUGCCCAUCACUAGAGCCUCUGUCCUUGAAAGCUCCGCCGAUCUCAGAAUUAUCUUAGACACCGAAAUCAACCAUAGCGAAGUGGUGGACUACACCGGCAACCCCAUCAACGGGGGCAGGCUGAUCGCGCUCAGGGCCACCAUUGUUUGGCGUGAUCUUCUGAGAACCACCAUGGUAGCCAAUGCUCGCACGAGCUUGGCGCUCACCCGGUUCAUCACCGACAAAGGUGGCCGCCAUUGCUUGUACUGAGUUGGCUAUUGGAAUGUCAUCGACAAAGGAAUUCAUCUUAAUAGAGACUACAUCGAAACACAUUUCAUGAUCGAAACAUCUGGGAACGAUGCUCUCAAAGAGAAUCAUUUUCUCAAUGAUGGGGCUUACAUUAUGGUAAAGAUAAUAGUUGAAAUGGUUCGCAUGAAGCUGAAAGGAUCAAAUGAAGGCAUUGUCAGUCUAAUAAAGAUCUCGAAGAGCCAUUAGAGUCCGUGGAGCUAAAAAUGAACAUCAUAUAUGAGGAUGAAUGUGAAGAUGGAUUGGAGUUCAUCGUGAAUCAUGGGGGCAGUCGACAUGUUUGGGUCAAUAAGAGUUUGCCACAGAUUCGCGAGGAGGUAGCGAGGCUUAAAGAUGUUCAACGAAAACCUCAAAUCGUCUCGGAUUUGGAAUUACAGGAAGCUGCAGGGAAGGAGAAAGGUGAUUGUGAGUCAUCUGCUGCACAUUCUGAAAAAUCCCAACGUAACCGUGAACCCCAGGUUCAAAUAUAGGAGGUUGGAUGUGAGUCAUCGGAGGAAGAAACUGAUGACGAAGAAGACGGUGAACCAAUUUCGAAUGAUUUUGGGGAAGAUGGAACUGAUGGGGAGUACGAAGCGGAAGAUGAGUCUGAUGCUUUAGAAACUCUUGGAACAAAAGAUACUGUUGAAACUAAUUGUGAGGCCGAAGGUGGUGCAACUAAAGGUGCUGCAAAGGAAGUCGAUACUGAAGGGUAUGCUAUAGGUGUUCGAAAAAAUGCUUCAAAGGGUUCUGCCACUGCAGGGGAUCGUUUGACUGCAGCUAAAGUCACUAAAAAUGCUGGAACACCAAGUGUUUAUCAAAAUGCCACAGAAGGUGAGAAAGAGUUUUACAUGAAAUGGAAUAAGAAGGUUGCGUGGAGGGAUCUCUUUGCCAAAAAUAGGCACCGACAGAGCUGUGGUGCGGUUCCUUGCUUUGUUCCGAAUGGUAAGGUUCCUCAAGUUGGAGAAGAAAAGAUCGAUGAUCUAGAGGGGAAUUGGAAGCACUGCAUAGUUGGAUACUUUGUGAGUAAAUUCCCAGGCAAAGCAGCUCUAAAUGCGAUUGUUGAGUCUUAGUUUGCUAAGGUUGAGGUGUGCAACCAUAAAAGUGGUUGGAAUACUUAUCUAAGGAGGACGAGGUCAAGAGAGAAAUGUCUUUCGAAGACAUUGAUGGUGACGAUGUUGUUUACCUAGAUUUGAAGGAUUCAUACCGAGUUGUUCCUUUGGUAGAUUGUAAUAUAUCUACUAGACAAGAAGCUACGGAACUAGAAGAAAAUCGAAAUGAUUUUGUUUUCGGCUAUGAUUUGAAGUAGCAGAAGGGUAUGGGGCUAAAUGAAACCCCCUUGUAGCAAAUCAAAAUCAGGAAGAUAGAUUCUUAUGGACACGAUGUUCAUGAGAGCUCGAGUGGUCUAAAUCUAGAUCCAAACAAACGUACAGUACACCACGAAGCGUAUCCCCAGGGUUCAACUAGAAGCUCCUUAUCUUAAAGCUAUCAAAGAAUGCCAGGAAUGGAGAUCCAAAUUUGAAGCUAGCCAAGAAUGCCAGGAAUGUACUAGUCAUCCUUGCCUGAUUCUCAAGGUGGUCGUGAUCAGGGAUCGUGAAGGUCGUUCGAUUUUUGGUUGUUACAUUGAGUUUUGGUUAAAAAUGACUAUCAACAUUGUGUUUUUAUCAUUUUUCAGGUGAAUGAUUUAUUUGAAAUGAAUGAAUUAUCUAAGUUGUGCAAAGGGACCCUCUAGUAGUCAAAAAACAUUUCAGUUUUGUUAUGAGAUGGAAAUAAAAUGAUGAAUUCAAGGCUUCACAAAAGCAAGACCAAAUUUGA